GUGAGUAACACGUGAGUAACCUGCCCUUGACUCUGGGAUAAGCCUGGGAAACUGGGUCUAAUACCGGAUACGACCAUCUGGCGCAUGUCAUGGUGGUGGAAAGCUUUUGUGGUUUUGGAUGGACUCGCGGCCUAUCAGCUUGUUGGUGGGGUAAUGGCCUACCAAGGCGACGACGGGUAGCCGGCCUGAGAGGGUGACCGGCCACACUGGGACUGAGACACGGCCCAGACUCCUACGGGAGGCAGCAGUGGGGAAUAUUGCACAAUGGGCGCAAGCCUGAUGCAGCGACGCCGCGUGAGGGAUGACGGCCUUCGGGUUGUAAACCUCUUUCAGUAGGGAAGAAGCGAAAGUGACGGUACCUGCAGAAGAAGCGCCGGCUAACUACGUGCCAGCAGCCGCGGUAAUACGUAGGGCGCAAGCGUUAUCCGGAAUUAUUGGGCGUAAAGAGCUCGUAGGCGGUUUGUCGCGUCUGCUGUGAAAGACCGGGGCUCAACUCCGGUUCUGCAGUGGGUACGGGCAGACUAGAGUGCAGUAGGGGAGACUGGAAUUCCUGGUGUAGCGGUGAAAUGCGCAGAUAUCAGGAGGAACACCGAUGGCGAAGGCAGGUCUCUGGGCUGUA
rnacentral:rRNA from 1 species